AUGUACAUUCCUACGAGAUAGAAUUAAUUAAGUGGAUCCCAUUAUAACUCCAUAGUUAAGUGUGCUCAGGAUAGAUUAGUAUUGGGAUGGGUGACUACUCAGGAAGUCUUAGUGGUUUACAUG
rfam:Picea glauca, whole genome shotgun sequence.